UUAUAUAUUUGAGUUAAUUAGAGUUAAAAGUGGAUUCAAAUAGCUAAUCUGUAACCUUUCUUUUUUAAAUUAACAUGUAGCCAUGUAGGAAAUGAUAAAAAAAAAAUUCUUUUAAGUUUAUACAGGAAAUUGAUAAUAGAUGAGGAGAUUGAUUAGGGUAAGAAUAUAUUAGCAGAAUCACAUUGAUUAGAAUGCAAAGUCUUCCGAGUACACACAAAAAAAAGUGAGAAUUGUUGUUCUUAUGGUUCUGUGGGUGAGUUAGACUAAGAAACUUAUAGAAAGGGAAAAACAUAGGGAUUUAAUUAGAUUUAUUUUAUCCUUUAAUAUAAUUGUGAUAGAAGAGGGGUCUUAUAAGAAUUAUAGAGUAGUGCUAAUAGUCCUACUCAAUAUUGAAACCCGAAACUAACACAGAAAAUACACAAGUAACUCAACACGGUUCAUUUACUAAUCAACAAAUUGCAUUAUCUAAUGUGACACAACCCGCUAGUCUAUUUAAUACUUAUUUAAUGCAAUUUAUAUCAAACAUUGCACACCGCCACACCCAUUUAAUACAAAUUGCACUCUUUUUAUAUAUUUAAAUAAUAUUACGUAUCAAAAUUAUAAAAUAUACAUGUCUAUCAAAAUAUUAUUCAUUUACAUCAUAUAAAUAUUCAUCAUUCACAAAAAGAUAAUUGUAUUCAAUAUUUGAUUUUUCAUAACAAGAACUUGCAAAUUAAAUUAGAAUAAAAAAUAUAAGUAUAUUUUAAUGCAAAUAUGAAUUAGUUUUGAAUAACCAUUUACUAAUCAUGACAUUAACUAGGUAAAUGGGUCAGAAAAUUGAACCUUAAUCUAAUAAGGAAAAGAACUUUGUUGAUUAGGACAUCGGCUCAUUUAAUAAUCGUGUCAACUUUCAUGAUUGAAACUCAUUUAUUCGUAACAUAUUUAUGCCAAAUAAAUGAGUUGUAUCAAAUUUCUUUAGCUCUACUUUUCAUUAUAACUUAUCUCUCAUUCUUUAUCGGUCCAAUUUCUAUGCUUUUUCUUUUUUCCCUACAUAAAAUUAGAAUUUCGUUACAAAUCCAUUUGAAAAAGAAGAAGUUAUUUGCAAUUUCUCUCUCUUAAAUUUCCAUUAAGUUCAAAUUUUGAAACAUAUUAUUUUUUGUUGUUGAAAUUUCCUAAAUUGUAUUUUAUAUUUGAAUAUGCCCCUCCCGAAUCAAAUUACUGGCUCCAUCAUUGGAAAUGUAUAUUAUUCGAACUAUGUUAAUUGUUGAUUUUUUUUUUAAUAAAGAUAAGACUCGGGGCUCGACAAUUUUUUUUUUGUAAACUAUACUGUUUGCCACCCUCAAAUUUGUAUUUUUGGGCACUUAUUGGUUUUGUUAUAGCAUGGCCGAAUGAAAAUCUUGAUUUUACCGCUGUUCAUAAUAUAUGAUAUGAGCAUAGUUUGAUGAAAUGUUUUCUAAGCAGUUCUCUUUAAGACUUUAUCUGAUCUUUCGUAUUCAAAUUUGAAAGAGAUAUGACACUAAAAAUUAAUUUAAUUGUUACUAAUCUCUACUUUAAGGAAAAAAAAAGGAAAAAAUCUUUAGUAUAGGUGGUAAAAUUUGGGUUAUAUAAUUAGAGUGCAAUAUCCUCUAUAUUCAUUAAAUCCUUACAAAAUGUGAAAAUGAAAUUGAAAGCUUAAAAAUAGAAAAGAAAAGAGUAUGAGCCACCCUAAUAACUUGAAAAGUGAAGUAAAUGUCUCCUAAAGUAUAUUAAGGUUGCCACAUGUCCACAAAGGAUAAUUGUGAUAAUGACUGCUCCUUCACCGGUGUGAUAUAGUCUCACAAGGACUAUCCUAAAAUAUCUUUAUAAAAGUCACAUGUGUUAGCAGUGAAAAAAGAAACUAGUACUACCGUUAUCUGAGCCACCCUCAGUGAAGUCAGUAGCUCCUACAACCCAAUUGAAGAUUAAGACAUGAUGUUAUUGUGGACAGUCAUACUGCUGACAUGUGUCCUACCUUAAAGAGGUAAAAGCAUUCAAAUUGAAUAAUUAAAUUAUUCAAAAGCCUCUACCUAGUAGAAUAAUAACUUAUUGAAGCUCACUAUGCGUCUAAGAAAGACAUCAAGGGUGCGGUUGGGCAAACUAUGUUGCCACGAUGCAGCUGCUUCAUCCCCUAUAUUUUAGGAAAUCUACACACUAAGAUAUCCUCAAGGACACACGCUAUAUAAGGUGAGGUCAUUUUUAGCAAAACAAGUUUAGUUUAUCCCUACAACUUUUAAUUUUUCACUCGUUUCAAUCCUCUCCAACCCUUAUUUGAUUUUACCAUCGAAGUGUCGUUGCCAGUCACUACUAACACAGUCUCUAACAACUAUGUUCUCUUAUUUUUAGGAUCCCAAAAAUUAUUAUGAAGUAUCCCUACUAUUUCCAAAACUAACCCUCCAAAAUGAAGCUCUUGGGUUGAACCAAAAACACUUACCGUGUCCUUUUAAUAAUGAGAGUCAACUAAGGGUUCGUAAUUUUAGUCAACAAUUGCUUGGCUUUUUAAUUGAUCUAUUUUAAACUUAAAUUGUAAAACAACGGUUGCAGCCGCACAUUGAACUGGGUUACGGCACGCAUCUGUUUUUUCUUACUUUGAAGUGAUGUAUAGGUCGGCUUUGACCGAACCCCUUCUUAAUCAAAAUCGGGUUUGCUGCCACUAAUUAGCUAAAACUAAUCAAGCAAACUUUCUACCAAACUUCUGCACUUUUUUAUUUUGAAAUUAAUAUAUUAAUACAUGCAGCAAGUACUAACUCAAAAAUAUAUCCCUUGUUUCUACUCUCAUUAAAAUUUAGAAAAUUAAAAUUCAACCCACAAGGCUCCAAGACCGAGCCAGUGGCUACCAAACUUUUACACUUUGAAUGUAAACGCUCGUUGACAAGUCAUCGUAUGGGCAAAAACUGAUGACCAAGAAUUUAACCAUCAGAUUCAGAAUAAAAUAACAGAACUUUAGGUCCGUGUUUCAUAAUGAAAUAAAGAAUGACUUUGAUUCAAAUAAUUCAAACCUCAAUAACAAGCAACAUCAUCAUUUAGUCAACCUCUAAUUGAGCGGGGGAAAAAAAAAAGGCACACCCACAAAUUCCAAUACGAUCAUGAUCGUGGCUUCUGCUGAGGGAAAUAUAAUAAAAUUGAUUAGCUUCAAAAUGCGUAUUUAUUACUAUUCUAGACCGAACUGCAAAGGUUACAGCGACGUUGGAUCUGCUACGUGUUGGAAUGGCCGGAUUUAUUUGGUCAAACAGAACAUUCACUUUUUAAAUCCGGGAUAGAAGCAUACAGGCUUGAUCUCUGGAUUAUUGGCCCAAUUGACCUUCCCGUUUUUAGCUUAAGGUCAGUGAUAAAAGGCCCACCGAUCUUUAUUUUUACAUUUCUAAAAGCAGUUAGCCUUUUGACACCUAUAAAAUUUCUCAUA
rnacentral:lncRNA from 1 species